rfam:Salmo salar isolate Sally breed double haploid chromosome ssa07, whole genome shotgun sequence.
UGCAUUCACUACUGUAAGUCACUCUGGAUAAGAGCGUCUGCAAAAUGACUAAAA